rnacentral:rRNA from 1 species
GAUGAACGCUGGCGGCGUGCCUAAUACAUGCAAGUCGAGCGAACGGACGAGAAGCUUGCUUCUCUGAUGUUAGCGGCGGACGGGUGAGUAACACGUGGAUAACCUACCUAUAAGACUGGGAUAACUUCGGGAAACCGUUGCUAAUACCGGAUAAUAUUUUGAACCGAAUGGUUCAAAAGUGAAAGACGGUAUUGCUGUCACUUAUAGAUGGAUCCGCGCUGCAUUAGCUAGUUGGUAAGGUAACGGCUUACCAAGGCAACGAUGCAUAGCCGACCUGAGAGGGUGAUCGGCCACACUGGAACUGAGACACGGUCCAGACUCCUACGGGAGGCAGCAGUAGGGAAUCUUCCGCAAUGGGCGAAAGCCUGACGGAGCAACGCCGCGUGAGUGAUGAAGGUCUUCGGAUCGUAAAACUCUGUUAUUAGGGAAGAACAUAUGUGUAAGUAACUGUGCACAUCUUGACGGUACCUAAUCAGAAAGCCACGGCUAGCUACGUG